AGGAUUUUAGUUUAUUAAAACAUUUAAUUUGCACUUAAAAAAUACUAUAUUUUA
rnacentral:tRNA from 1 species